rnacentral:rRNA from 1 species
AACGAACGCUGGCGGCAUGCCUAACACAUGCAAGUCGAACGAGACCUUCGGGUCUAGUGGCGCACGGGUGCGUAACGCGUGGGAAUCUGCCCUUGGGUCUGGAAUAACAGUUAGAAAUGACUGCUAAUACCGGAUGAUGACUUCGGUCCAAAGAUUUAUCGCCCAGGGAUGAGCCCGCGUCGGAUUAGCUAGUUGGUGGGGGAAAAGCUCACCAAGGCGACUAUCCGUAGCUGGUCUGAGAGGGUGAGCAGCCACACUGGGACUGAGACACGGCGUAGACGCCAACGGGGGGCAGCAGUGAGGAAUCUUGGACCAGGGGCGAAAGCCUGAGCCAGCAAUGCCGCGUGAGUGAUGAAGGCCUUAGGGUUGUAAAGCUCUGUUACGCGGGAUGAUAAUGACAGUACCGGAGGAAUACGCCCCGGCUAACUCCGUGCCAGCCGCCGCAGUAACAC